GACAGAGGGUGCAAACGUUGUUCGGAAUUACUGGGCGUAAAGCGCGUGUAGGCGGCCUGCAAGUCGGGUGUGAAAUCCCACGGCUCAACCGUGGAAGUGCACUCGAAACUGCAGGGCUAGAGUCCUGGAGAGGAAGGUGGAAUGCUUGGUGUAGAGGUGAAAUUCGUAGAUAUCAAGCGGAACACCGGUGGCGAAGGCGGCCUUCUGGACAGUGACUGACGCUGAGACGCGAAAGCGUGGGGAGCAAACAGG
rnacentral:rRNA from 1 species